AUAAUAGAUAUUUUCUAUGGAGGUUGAUGCCAUUGGACUCUUUUCCUUCAGAUUCCCCAUUUGCUGAUGAUCUAAUUAAAAACAAACGGUUUUUCUUUUCGGCCGAGGAGAGGUCAAUAUGGAGUUGGAAGGAGAUGACAAGAAUGCAUCCCGAUAAAUGUCGCUCUAUUAGGGUUGGGAAUUUUCUCUGUCUUGUAGCUGGGGCAUAGUAAUAUUAAGUUGUUCCUAUGCAGAGGAUCUGACUUCCUCAACCUGUUAGAUUUGAUAGGAACAAUGAGACAAAAAAUAAGACAGAUAUAAACAACUGUGAGAAAGUUGCACAUCCCUCCAAUAACCGAUAAAAGUAAGAGAGUGGAAGCCACCUUUACAAAAAGUUUUUUAGUUUUCCUAGUAGCGAAAUCACAUGUAAUUGCCAAGAUGAAAUUAAUUUUUGCACACAAUUUAUUGGCUCCUUUUGUCACCAUCUCUACUGAUAAUGUUAAAUCAAGGAGAGUAGGAAGUGGCUUUUGGAGAAUACCAACAAUUUUUGCCUAGGCAAACAAAAGAAGACUGACCAAAAGAAGUGUUGAUGUAACAACAAAAUUAAAAGUAUAUCCAAAUUGUUCAAAGAAGUGCCACAUAGCGCCACCACCAAGAAGUAAACCAAUACAAAUACCCCUUUUGCUCUAGAGAAUCACAUCAACAACCUUUCUUCUACCAAGAACUUCAUGAGUGGUCCUUUGCCAAUGGAGGAGGUGAUAUGGAGUGGAAGAAGCAUGUUACCCUGAAGCUCCUAAGGGUACAUUUCUAAAUCUUCUACUAUUUCUAUUAA